AAAUCCAAAUAAUACUAAAUUGUCUAUUCUAGUCAUAAAUAUUCCUUUGUGAUAUCUCAGAUGUUAAAAUGUUUACUCAAUAUGCUAUGCAAGUUUAAUAUGUCCCCCUUUAUAGUGCUGUACAGCCAAAGGUUUGGAACUUACUCAAGUGACCGUGGUUGAUCCUAGCCUCCAGGUGGUCUAUGAUACAUUUGUGAAACCAGAUGAAGAAGUCAUUGACUAUAACACCAGGUUUUCUGGUGUUGAAGAUGACCUGAGGAACACUAGAAUAUCGAUCCAGAUGUCCAAGCCACCCUGUUGAACCUGUUCAGUGCUGACACUGUACUAAUUGGACAUAGCUUUGAACAGAGUCUGUAUGCUCUUAAGCUAAUUCCUAUUUCAGUUGUGGACGAGACAGUUCUGUAUCUUCAUCGGCGAGGUUUGCCUCACAAAAGAUCCCUCGCGUCUAGUGGCUGACCACCUGCAGAGAAUCAUUCAGGACUGUGUAAGAGCCUGUUCACUCAUGAUUAAUAUCAGGAUCCUAAGUCUGACUUGAGUAAACAAACCAUGGGAUUCGUGGUAAAAGCUUUGCUCCCUGAAAUGCUUAAGGUAGGUUUUUCUUUACGGAUUCCCUGCUAGGGUGGAGAACCCUAAAGCAUCUGCGUAUGUAGACACCACUCAAAUGCCCCCCGCCUGGUGUCAUCCUGGAUCUUCCACAGGCAUCAGAACAGCCAGGCCACAGAGAAUGGUGGCCAGGUCGCUGUUCAGCAAGUUGCCUGGUCUUGGAGUUCAUGUAUAAAACUUCAAUUGGUGUGGAGGUCUAAUUCCAGUCUAAAUUUUGCUGGGUACCUCUUUUCAUACCAGUUUUUCAUUAAAUGAGGUUCCAAAAUGUACUGGGGUCAGGUCAUCUCACCCAGAGUACAUUGUGUGUGUUGUGUUAGAAAAACUACUGUUUAAAUUCAAUAGAUUUCAUCAUAUGUGCAUGUGAUUUGUACUGGCUUGGUGUGUAUCUUGCUCUCAUAACAUCUUGUUUUUUUCUGAUGAAAUACACCCAACAGUAAACAAGUUAGUCAAGUACAUCGAGUAUAGCUACAACUACCCUGUUAGUGGCGUUGCCAUACGCACAGUUGUGCAGUAUCUGCCUUGGAAGGGAGGUUACUCUGUACAUUCACACAUACCCAUGUAGGCUCCUCUUUGGCACAAUAGAGAAUUCUAAGAAAACUAAAUUCUGCCUAUUUUAAAAUUUGUUACAGUGCUGUGUUUCUAAAGAUAACUAAGACAUGGGAAGGCCCUCUGACCGUGUCAUUAAUUGUACAACAUACCAGCUGUACCCUAUGGUCUUUAUUCUUUGAUUCUUUGUCUGUUAGACACUACUGCUGCCUCACAGUGGGUCUUUAUCUGUUUUGCUAAAAAUAUAUCUCAAAAAAUUCCCACAAUAUUCUAUUAUCAAAUGUAAUGUGUUCUAUUGAAAACCGUCUUGAACCUUAGACAGGAAAAUAUUUCACUUAGCAAAAAACAGCUUAUAUAAACAUAUACUACCCCAUUUUUUCCAGAAUAACACAAAUGAAAUGUUUGGCUUUUUGCCAGAUCUUUUACGAAUACCUCCCUCUUUGUUGUUUUCUGGAAAAGCGGUUUACAGAGAAGGUAGCAAUGUGCUAUCUUGUCACAGCAAGGUAGUGACAAUGUGCGGAGAGCCUCUGUAGGAAAAGGGAGUGUUUGCUAAUCUAGAUUUAUGUAUAAUCUUUACAAAGCAUUCAGAAUCAUGUGUUGGUAAGUGCCCAGUGUUAAUUUUUUAUAAACAUGAACUCAAGGCUUUGUUUUGAGAACCGCUGUGGGUAGUAUCAUGGAUACAGUCAUUGUGGGUCUAACACAUUGUCUUCUAUUCUGUCAUGUUUGGAGGUCAUAGUUCAAGUGAAAAUACAACCGCCUAGAUGGAACUAGUCCUCUGGAAGGUGAAAGAAGACCUGAAAGGAAAGGAGUGAUCGCUCUGCCCGAGCAGAUCUUAAAUCCCUGCAGUGUGGUUUCAGGGACGCCUCUGCGGCUGGCAUUAGAGUUGGGUCUAUGACGGUAGAAAGUUUCUUGACCUUUUUCUUCAAUUUCCACGGUUCAUUUCUAAAGUUGUGAGUGGGGCAGGGGGCGGUUAAUGGGGAGGAUUAAGUUGCUUUGAAUUUUCAACUCCUCUUGAUGGAUCUAGGGUGACAGGUUUACAAAGGAGUACGGUUUACAGUUGAGCAGUGACCUCCUCAAGGGUCACGUCUCUGGUUACGUACAUUUCUUUCUCUCCAAAUACCGAAAACUAUCAUUACCUAACACAUUUUUUUAAGGUCUCAUAUAUCAAUAGAUUUUCCUCACAAAGUAAAUGUAAACUUUUCAGUGUACUCUGUUAACAUAAAGCUUUGGGUCAUUUGGCUGUUGGGUAAUGUUUGUAUUCUAACUGGUGUACUGUGACUGGAUUUUAAUUCACAACUUAUUUUUUUCAGGCAGUGUCCUAGGGAUCUUCUGAACACACUAACCUGUGUUCUCAGUUCCGGACUGUCUCAUUCCUUUGAGGGGUUAGCUCCAUCUUUCUUGCUUUCUCAUUAUGGGCAAGUACCUGACCUGAUUCAGUUUGAUUACCCUUGAGUACGAAUCUUCAGUAUUAAUGUUGCUAACAUGCUACAAAAUUACAAAGGUUUCACUGCCAAUAGUACAGGAGAGUCAGAGCAAUUAAUAGGAGGGCCUCUGGUGGGAAGUACACCUGCUACCUUCUGACGGUUGCUUGUGAGGAGAUGCCCUCAAAUGUACGUCAGUUUGGCUGCCUUCGUGUUGUGACUUACAAGUAACUCAGUGAUGCCUGAACAUUUUUUUCUUGCUGUCCCAGGUACUUCUCAGCCAUCUCUCUUGUCAUGUACUUGAUGUAAAGUAAAAUAAUACAAAUUUUGAUCAUUAUGAAUUUAAGUAAUAUGUAAUGAAGAAAGUCAGACUAUUGGAGGGGGGGAAGAUUUGUUCCAAUGCCAUAUGCAAUGAAGGGAUUAUCUGCAUUUUCAGGUCCUCCUUGCUCAGUUCCAUGUACUUUCAAACCAGGGGCUGUCAGAAUUAUCUCCACAACAUGUGGUAAAAAGCCCAAGGAGCCAGUGCAGAUACCUGGACCUGUCAAGGGCUCUUCCCCGCGUUUCCGGCUGCUGACUCGGUCUGCUAGCAGCCUUGCAUGUGCGCUCUCCACUGGAGAACGCCGUUGGGAACAAGGGGCCCUGCUAUCGUCUCUGAACACACGAGGUGGACCAAGUGGCAGGAACAGGGAACUUUAUGCUCUGUGUCGACCGAUUUCACACUAUCCCAGUUAAG